rnacentral:rRNA from 1 species
AUUGAACGCUGGCGGCAGGCCUAACACAUGCAAGUCGAGCGGAUGAAGGGAGCUUGCUCCUGGAUUCAGCGGCGGACGGGUGAGUAAUGCCUAGGAAUCUGCCUGGUAGUGGGGGAUAACGUCCAGAAACGGGCGCUAAUACCGCAUACGUCCUGAGGGAGAAGGUGGGGGAUCUUCGGACCUCACGCUAUCAGAUGAGCCUAGGUCGGAUUAGCUAGUUGGUGGGGUAAAGGCCUACCAAGGCGACGAUCCGUAACUGGUCUGAGAGGAUGAUCAGUCACACUGGAACUGAGACACGGUCCAGACUCCUACGGGAGGCAGCAGUGGGGAAUAUUGGACAAUGGGCGAAAGCCUGAUCCAGCCGUGCCGCGUGUGUGAAGAAGGUCUUCGGAUUGUAAAGCACUUUAAGUUGGGAGGAAGGGCAGUAAGUUAAUACCUUGCUGUUUUGACGUUACCAACAGAAUAAGCACCGGCUAACUUCGUG